rnacentral:tRNA from 1 species
GCGGUUGUAGCAAAAUUGGUAAUGCAACGAUUUGUGGCAUCGUUAUUGUAGGUUCGAAUCCUUCCAGCCGCGCCA